rnacentral:rRNA from 1 species
GACGAACGCUGGCGGCGUGCCUAACACAUGCAAGUCGCACGGGGUAGCAAUACCCAGUGGCGAACGGGUGCGUAACACGUGAGGAACAUACCUAUCGGCGGGGGAUAGCCGGCCCAACGGCCGGGUAAUACCGCGUACGCUCUCCGGGGGGCAUCUCCUGGGGAGGGAAGCAGCAAUGCACCGAUAGAGUGCCUCGCGGCCUAUUAGCUAGUUGGUGAGGUAAUGGCUCACCAAGGCGACGACGGGUAGCUGGUCUGAGAGGAUGAUCAGCCGCAUUGGGACUGAGACACGGCCCAGACUCCUACGGGAGGCAGCAGUGGGGAAUCUUGCGCAAUGGGCGAAAGCCUGACGCAGCGACGCCGCGUGUGGGAUGAAGGCCUUCGGGUCGUAAACCACUGUCGCGAGGGACGAAUAAAUUGACGGUACCUCGAAAGGAAGCACCGGCUAACUCUGUGCCAGCAGCCGCGGUAAUACAGAGGGUGCGAGCGUGUCCGGA